UACGUAGGGGGCUAGCGUUGUCCGGAUUUAUUGGGCGUAAAGAGCGCGUAGGCGGCCGUGUAAGUCCGACGUGAAAUCUGGAGGCUCAACCUCCAGCGGUCGUUGGAAACUACCCGGCUAGAGUCCGGAAGAGGAGAGUGGAAUUCCUGGUGUAGCGGUGAAAUGCGCAGAUAUCAGGAAGAACACCGAUGGCGAAAGCAGCUCUCUGGGACGGUACUGACGCUAAGGCGCGAAAGCGUGGGGAGCGAACAGG
rnacentral:rRNA from 1 species